UACGUAGGUGGCAAGCGUUGUCCGGAAUUAUUGGGCGUAAAGCGCGCGCAGGCGGUCCUUUAAGUCUGAUGUGAAAGCCCACGGCUCAACCGUGGAGGGUCAUUGGAAACUGGAGGACUUGAGUGCAGAAGAGGAAAGCGGAAUUCCACGUGUAGCGGUGAAAUGCGUAGAGAUGUGGAGGAACACCAGUGGCGAAGGCGGCUUUCUGGUCUGUAACUGACGCUGAGGCGCGAAAGCGUGGGGAGCAAACAGG
rnacentral:rRNA from 1 species